rnacentral:lncRNA from 1 species
UGAUGCAGUAUACAAGCAGCCCUUGAUUUUAACUGGUUUUUGUAAUAGGUACAAAUAAUCCCAUACCUUUCUAGGUGCAAUUUUAAGUUAAGCUAAAAUUCUCUGUAGGGUUAAUUUAUUUGUACAUGAUAGUAGAAGGUAAGAUCAUGUCAAAUCUUAUAAUUUGGGGAAUCUGACACUAUUUAAAUUAUUGGCAACUGUUGUCUGUUGUAUAGAGGUUCUCUUUUUCAACUGGCUUGGUCUGUUACAUUAAUAAUGCAUUGUAUAUGUUGAAGCACACAACUUUACAUAAGUUCAAAAUCUACUAGGAAGAUCAAUUUACAAUAUUUUGGCCAUUUAUAACACUAACUUCACUCUGCCAUAAAAUUAAUACUUUUCAUCUGUAAGCAUUAUUAAUAAUCUCCUUUACCAAAAACAUG